UGAGGUUCUGAGAAGGUAUAUCCUUUC
rnacentral:piRNA from 1 species